UCCUGACGAUCAUGAUCAGUAACGAGCACACAAUUAAUCGGAUGCAGAAUGAGCAAACAAACAAUAAUGGACACCAAAAAUUUUAUGGUGCUUCGGUGACAAUCGUGCCGACAUCCAUCCAUUGCUUCGGUGACAAUCGUGCUUACAUCCAUCCACUGUGAUGAUCGAAGGAAACUUCCACUGAUUUUGAGUUUACAAGUUAUAAUGCUAAAGAGAACGUGUAAAGCAACAUAAUGAGCCUAAGCUUAUGAUCUAAGGUUGUUUGUACAAGCUUAACGAGAUUCAGAAAGUUCCCCCACCCGUUAGCGAUUGGUUACUGGAUUUUUAAACCGACACGUCGUUGAGAUGUAGAUGACAAAAUGCUUCUUCCUCUCCAAAACCGACUUGUCGUACUCGGCUAAAUUCUCAUAUUCAAGCCUUUACUCUUCACCACAUUAUAGUACAUUAAUAAUAAUAAUAAUAUGAGAACUUCGAGGUAGGUUACACACACACAAAAAAGAGUAAAUAAAUAAAAAGAAUUACUCUAUAAUCAUUUUAUUCAAUGAUUUUGUAUAAUCUGCAUUAUCAACUGUUAAGCAGAAACAAAUACCACAUAAAUUAAGAACAGCUCACGGAUUAAAAAUGUAAAAUUAAAGCAACUCUUAAUUUUUGAGUUAAUUUUGAGAAAUGAGUCGGGCACAGCCAUAAUUCAAGUCAUGUCCACAUAGAUAGAUAUAGGCUGCUUAGACACAUUCCAGGGCAGAAAUUACGUCAGUAACUAGUUAGUGGCAAGCUUCAACUGUCACCAUUCACACCCUUCAAUUUGUUCUAUCAUAUAAUCUAUUGUCAUAGGAAAACUCGUGGUAUCCUACAAUUGUGUGCAUGCGAACUUGAAGUGCUACUCUCGAUUUGGAGAAUGCGGGUGAGAAUCUGAAAGUACCAUGCAUGCAUAUAAUUGAACAAGCACAUAUAUGUUUUGAGCACUAAUGUUAAUGGUCUAAGCUGGCCGGCCAAUUUAAUUAUGCUUUCAGGUGAUACGCAGAAAAUUAAAAUUGCAGAUGAAUAUAAUAAUUCUAUAUGCGCUAACAAUAUUCGUUUGUUAGGUGAGCACUAGACGGAAGAUAUUCAACGUAGAGGUGGUCAUAUGUGGAUCUCAUAACCAAUAGAUUCUAAACUCCUAUUGGUGGCCACCUCUUUACCAUUUAUUUAUGAAGCACCACUUCAGUUAGCUUGUAAUUAAUAAAUUGAUUAGAUAAGUAAUCCCUUGUAAUAUUGCGGUUCAAGUUUUUUUUUUUUUUUAUAAUAAUUAGGUGCCUUCAAAUUCUUUUUUGUGCAUGUCAUCUUGAAUAAAUAAAUUUAUAUAUGCACCUACCCACUAGCUACUAAUUAAUUUGCAUGGCUUACUGGCCAUGGGAAAUUAAACAACAAAUUAAAAUGGGAAUUUAUCUUUUGACUGAUUUAAAAUAUUGAUCAAUAACUCACUAUAAUCGAAACAGCUUGAUGAUCGACAUCACAGUACUGUUUCUCUCUAUUUAAUUUCUUUAUUUCAUUUGUCCUGUCUUUGCUUCCUUUAAUAACUUUAGUAGUCAAAAGAGAAACAAAGUAGAAAAGAAAGGAUGCAAAAAAUUGAAGGUAUUUUGAUAUUACAAGCAAAUUUUAUCAAGUGAAUGUGCAUGCCUGCUUGCAAUGAUAAAAUUGUCCACACUGGGCCAAGUAGCUUUCUCGAGGUUUCUGGAUUAUGGCAAUCAUGACUAAAAGAAUCUCACGAAAAGCCAUUUCUAUCUUAACAUUAAUGCUGUUAUCAGCAAUCAUACUUAAGUAAAACACAUACGGGUUACUGUCGAACAAAAAAAAAAAAAAACUAUUUAAAAACCAUUCGAUUAAAUUCAAUAACACAUUAAUGUUUAUGAUUUUUUUUUUAAUCGUAUCGUAAUUAAAUAUCAAUAUCAAUACCUAGCUUACGUCGGCAUUUUAAUUGCAAAAUGCUCGGGAACCGCCGCACCUGAUCAUAACUCAUAAGAAUUAAUACUAUUAUAUAACGAUGUCUCGUAUCAAUCACACUUCCCCUUUUUUUUUUUUUUUUUUUUUUUUGAGAUGCAUAUCAAUGACACUUAUAUGCACAGCAAAAUGCUUCAGUUGAUUGAAAGAGAAAGAGGCUUAGACGUUACAAAAAGACCCUACAUAUUUUGCCAACAAAGUGUUGGCUCCACUGGCAAUAGAGUCCCCUUAAGUGGUUUGAUUAGGUUUGUUCACCAGUUUGAGUUGCAGGGAAGUCGCCUUUGUUGGGAGAACCUGUGACUUUCGGUUCGAGCGGGGACUUCUAGUCUGUUGUGGUACAGGCUUAAAGGUAUCUCCCACAGUUGGGGCCCUCCCCAAGAUAUCUCGUGGUCAAAAAAAAAAAAAAAAAGACCAUACAUAUUUUCCAACAUAGACGAUAGUGCAUGUCGUAUAUCAAUAGAAAAAAAAAAUGAUUUGACUCUACAUCUGAUAAAUUCCUUAAUUUGGUGGAGAGUGAAUAUGAUUUCCAACAAGCUGGCUGCUCACUGCUCAGAACUGCAGAUAAUUUUGAGAAAUUAUCUAUUUUCUACCUAAUAUUCAAUGAAAGUUUAAAAAUACUUGAAUAGCUUUUACAGUUAGCGGUGAAGUUUAUAAAUAUGUUAUAAUUUCUAUUUUCCUUUAACAACCAUUAAGUGCCUAUUUAAUAUGAUUUAUCAAAUGACCAUAAAUAUUUAUUUAAUUUCAUAAGUUUUUAUUAAGAUUUUUGUUGUUGUUUGUUUUUUUAAUAGAGUUUUUGAA
rnacentral:lncRNA from 1 species